UGGCUCCUACAAGGGUUGAGGUCAAAUCAGGAUCGCAAACGGUCGAUCACCCAGCGCAGCAGCAGCAUCAGCAGCAACAACAGCAGCAACAGCAGCAUCAGCAGCAACUUGCAUAACAUGUUCUGUUUGAAGAAGAACUCAUGCUGGCAUAAACAGAGGACAUAAGCCAGCCAGCCAGCGGGACCAGCCAGCCGGCGCGAUAACAUACAACCUCCAGAACGGCCAUGGCCAGGUGUUG
rnacentral:lncRNA from 1 species